GGAGGGGUUCCCGAGUGGCCAAAGGGGGCAGACUGUAAAUCUGUUGCGUAAACGCUUCGAAGGUUCAAAUCCUUCCCCCUCCACCA
rnacentral:tRNA from 1 species